rnacentral:rRNA from 1 species
AUUGAACGCUUCCUUCCUUCCUAACACAUUCAAGUCGAGCGUAUGAAGGGAGCUUGCUCCUGGAUUCAGCGGCGGACGGGUGAGUAAUGCCUAGGAAUCUGCCUGGUAGUGGGGGAUAACGUCCGGAAACGGGCGCUAAUACCGCAUACGUCCUGAGGGAGAAAGUGGGGGAUCUUCGGACCUCACGCUAUCAGAUGAGCCUAGGUCGGAUUAGCUAGUUGGUGGGGUAAAGGCCUACCAAGGCGACGAUCCGUAACUGGUCUGAGAGGAUGAUCAGUCACACUGGAACUGAGACACGGUCCAGACUCCUACGGGAGGCAGCAGUGGGGAAUAUUGGACAAUGGGCGAAAGCCUGAUCCAGCCAUGCCGCGUGUGUGAAGAAGGUCUUCGGAUUGUAAAGAAAUGGAAGUUGGGAGGAAGGGCAGUAAGUUAAUACCUUGCUGUUUUGACGUUACCAACAGAAUAAGCAAAGGCUAAAUUCGGG